rnacentral:rRNA from 1 species
UACAGAGGUCUCAAGCGUUGUUCGGAUUCAUUGGGCGUAAAGGGUGUGUAGGCGGCGCGCUAAGUCGGGUGUGAAAUUUCGGAGCUUAACUCCGAAACUGCAUUCGAUACUGGCGUGCUUGAGGACUGGAGAGGAGACUGGAAUUCAUGGUGUAGCAGUGAAAUGCGUAGAGAUCAUGAGGAAGACCAGUGGCGAAGGCGGGUCUCUGGACAGUUACUGACACUGAGACACGAAGGCCAGGGGAGCAAACGGG